CCAACACAAACUCUCACCAGUUCAGUGCGUAGAAAGAUCAGUAUUAAAAAAAAAAGAAAAAGAAGGUGUACAAUAGCUGCUCUGCUGGAGCAUACUAGUCGCCGUGGGAUGUGUCAACUUUAAAUGCCAUUUUCUCAAAAAUUUUGCAUUCAGCAGAUGGGAGAAGAGUCCAGGUAUCAAGAUUGCCCUAAAAUAAAAUUUUCAAUUAGUUA